rnacentral:lncRNA from 1 species
AUGGCAUUCACCAGCCUUUUUUCAAGUCUUCCAAACAAAGACUUUGACACGGCGCCUUGUGAGCGGAGAGAGAGAUUUCAAAGGGAUGAAAGGCAACUGGAACCAGUUAAACUGGAGGUGAACGAAAGGGAUGCCCAGUCCAGAAAGUGGCCAUUGCAAAGGUGUCAGCAGAGUGGCCCCAGGAAGAGGAAAAAGGGGGACCAACAGGAGCAGUGUGGUCAGGCCAAGAAAAGUAAGCUCCGUAAAUGCCCAUCACAAUCUUAUAAAGACUUUGACUCUGUGGCCCGAGACUACAACAUGGUGAAGUGUGAUUUCGAGCAACCAGGCUUUGACUUGAGUAGAGACCUGGACUUCUACAGUGAUAGCAAGGAGGGUGCAUCCCCAGGUCAUGCUACAGAGAAGGAUCCUGAUCAGAUCAAGGAUGUUCAAGGUGUAAACGAGAAGAAAGGACGGGAGCAGAAGAAGCAGCGACGGAAGCCCCAGCAGCAGAGACUUGACAACCAGGCCAGAGGCAGAGGGGGAAACUCUGCCAGGAGGGGUGGGGAUUUUACCGGAAUGGGUGGACGCGGAACUAACCAGCCCAGAGACUUCUCCAACAGGGGCGGAGAGUGGAGCAAUAGAGGCCAGGGCUGUGACGAGGGGCGGUUUUCUCAGAAGAGGUGA